UAGUAGUUAGUUUAAACAAAACAAUUGAUUUCGACUCACUAAAUUAUGAUUUAAUUCAUAACUACUAU
rnacentral:tRNA from 1 species